AGCUGAUCACUGGGCGUAAAGCGUGCGCAGGCGGUUUUGUAAGACAGAGGUGAAAUCCCCGGGCUCAACCUGGGAACUGCCUUUGUGACUGCAAAGCUGGAGUGCGGCAGAGGGGGAUGGAAUUCCGCGUGUAGCAGUGAAAUGCGUAGAUAUGCGGAGGAACACCGAUGGCGAAGGCAAUCCCCUGGGCCUACACUGACGCUCAUGCACGAAAGCGUGGGGAGCAAACA
rnacentral:rRNA from 1 species